rnacentral:tRNA from 2 species
GCACGCGUGGCCAAAUCGGCAAAGGCGCCUGUCCUAGAAACAGGAUAUUGGGAGUUCGAAUCUCUCCGCGUGUACCA